GAUACCAAAUGUCGUGUAAAUGCAACUUUUCCGUCCUAUGAAAGUCUCUUGUUUGAGGGCUCAUGACAUUGUCAUGUCUUGUCUUGUUUGUCGUUUUGCAGGCAUCUGCAGACAUUUCCGCCAUGUUCCUUUAUCUGUCCCACUGUUUUCACAACCUAUCGGAACCUUUCGUAUUGGAAGUUGGGUUUCAGGCAUUGCUGAACCUGGAGGCCCACCUCUACAAGUAUUACGAUGGGAUGAAUCCCUCAGUCGAGCACUUGCUUUGCUGUCUGAAGCUCGGGUCAGUGCACCACCUAUCGUGGAUGAGAAUGUUGUUUUUUAAGACGUCUAUGCUCGGGGGGACAUCACAGCUCUUGCUAGGGAUUGCGCGUAUUCUCGACCUCAACUGAAUGACUUAACUAUCAGCCAGAUAGGGGCAGGACCUGGGCCACUCCAUGGGAAUCGUUACCUCAAGUGCCUUCGAUCAGACUCAUUACGCCAUAAGGUUGAGCCUUUUGCUCUUCCAGGGGUGCGGAGACUAAUAUGCAUUGAGGCUGGAAGUGGGCAAGUGGAAGGAAUUAUUACGUUGCGAGAUGUUUUCCAGUUCCUACUGUAAAUUACAUGCUGGGUUACACGUUCAGUGAAAAGAUUGCUGACAUUCGUCUGGAAUUUUUUCUUUUAAGGCGCAACUUUAUCCUGGAAAGAGGGUUAGUCCUCGAUUUUAGCUUCGGGUUGUUGCCUUUUUCAUUAUUGGUUCAAUAAAGCUUGAUGCAAAUGUAGUGCGCAUGGUGUGUGCCCUAGAGUGGUUCCUACUGCUCUGUCAUUGUAAAAUCAUGUUAAUAUCUUGCACUUCAAUGCUAUCUUUCAACAGAA